rnacentral:rRNA from 1 species
UACGUAGGGGGCAAGCGUUGUCCGGAUUUAUUGGGCGUAAAGAGCGUGUAGGCGGCUGGGUAGGUCCGUUGUGAAAACUCGAGCUCAACCUCGAGACGCCGAUGGAAACCCUCCAGCUAGAGUCCGGAAGAGGAGAGUGGAAUUCCUGGUGUAGCGGUGAAAUGCGCAGAUAUCAGGAAGAACACCCGUGGCUAAGGCGGCUCUCUAGUACGGUACUGACGCUGAGACGCGAAAAGUGUGGGGAGCGAACAGG